UACGGGGGGGGCAAGCGUUGUUCGGAAUUACUGGGCGUAAAGGGCUCGUAGGCGGCCAACUAAGUCAGACGUGAAAUCCCUCGGCUUAACCGGGGAACUGCGUCUGAUACUGGAUGGCUUGAGAUUGGGAGAGGGAUGCGGAAUUCCAGGUGUAGCGGUGAAAUGCGUAGAUAUCUGGAGGAACACCGGUGGCGAAGGCGGCCAUCUGGACCGGCACUGACGCUGAGGCGCGAAAGCGUGGGGAGCAAACAGG
rnacentral:rRNA from 1 species